rnacentral:ncRNA from 2 species
UCCCCGUUCCAGGGGGGCCGCGCCAAAGCGGCUGAGAUAGGGCUGACACGCGCCCUGACCCUUUGAACCUGAUCCGGUUCACACCGGCGGAGGGACGGGACUGGCCACUCAUC